CUAGUUAACCUUUCUUUUCCCCUGGGUGCAGCAUAUAACAGAAAAUACAAUAAGCUAUGUACAUAAGCAUAUAAAUGCAAUUUAAACAAAAUUUUCAGCAAUUUUGUAAUUUGUGGCACCUCUGUACUUGAGGGCCUUCGAAGCCUGUCCCUAUUGGGGUUUAAUUGACCCAUGGGGAUACUUUGCGGCACCUCAAGAUAGCACAUGCCACGUGGGGUAUGAUACCUUUUAAGUGGGUGUUAACAUGGGCUAUUAGAGCUAAGGUACAAGUAUGAUGCGAUAUGUGCCUAGUCUCGGGUGGGGGAAUUAAGUCGAGACUUGUGUCAGGGUGUCCGGGGUAGUGGGUGUUAACUUUUUAGGGUCUUCGGAGCACAAUCCUUAUUGUAUGAAUUAGUUU